AUGGCGUGGUGAAGUUCGCGUUGUGACCCGCGCUCCGACUAAAAGGGCUUUAAAGGCUUCGAACCCAGCUAAGUGCCAACCAUUUUCAACCCUGCUGGCCCAGAAGUGUUUGUAAUUAAGAGUUGUUUGAAAAUACAAAGUUGAGCAAAGUAGCUCUGUUAAAACUUGCUAAUUGGCUCUGCAGUCUUUGCAUCUUGUAGCUCCAGAUGCUGAGUCUGGUGAUGGAGGCCAUCCUAAUAGAGGUGAAAGAGAUGACUCAGAAUGCUUCAGGAAGGAGCAGAAAUGAGAUGCUACACUUCAUUCAGUAACAGAAAGCAGUUUGAGCUGGCCCAAGGGAAAAUAAAAACUUACUGGAAAUAUAUCAGGCUCUCACAUGGAACCCAAAGAACUGUAUCACCAACCCAGCCUCUGGAAGGACAGAAGACCAGAAAGCUCUGGGAACCCUGAGAACAGCUGCUCACAACCUUCGCUUUGGAACUCGGCCACUACUAUGACUCAGAGCCAAACUCCCAACAGUGUGUGUCUCUGUUCAAAAUUCAAAUUCCUGAGAGGGAAAAUCUGAUUGGCUGUGCUGGGGUCAGAAGCCUGCUACUUCUCCAAUCAAUUAUGGCCAGGAGGCAGAGCAGCAUGCUUUGUAUCCGUACUGUCCCACACAGAAGCCACGGGCCAACUGUGGCUAUGGAGCACUUGAAAUGUGGUUAGUACGUUUGAGGAGCUAAAUUUUUCAUUUCAUUUAAUUGUUAGUAAUUAAAAAUUUAAAA